rnacentral:misc_RNA from 1 species
GGCUUUGCUGUAGUUGCUGCGGCUGCGACUGCUAAUGAGGUUCUUAAAGAACUAUUCAUGGAGAUGAAUAUUGAUGAGCUUAUUUUGCAGACUCUGACUACGUACAGAGAUGAUUGUGUUAGUAGCUUAUAUGAUGCUAUUCGGAUUCUGCUGACACCUGAUGAUCAUCGUGUAGUUGCCUCUCAAGUUUAUGGUUAUGCA